GCACUUAUGGUACAAUGGUAGCAUUUUACCCUUCCAAGGUAAAGCCCCGGGUUCGAUUCCCGGUAAGUGCA